UUUGAAAGAGCUUGGGAUUUGUUUUUGUGUGUUGUGUAUCCGUGUGUGGGCAAUGUGUUGACAUACCCUGAGGCUGGAUCUCUGCACGUGGCAUAUUUUGGGCAUAAUGUGCACUCAUCCUCCACAGGGCUCAGGUGUACUCUCACUAACCAAUUAAAAACCUGCAGAGAGAGAACCAAUCGGGCAUCUUUCAUUGUGCUUCUAUCCUCUAGUGCCAAAGUGCCCCGUACCUCUCUUGUCUGCCCACACAGCCUCCUGCUGCCCUCACGGGCAUAUGCUCCUCACACGCUCCGGGGCACCACCAGGUACAGGUGUGGACGGGGCCAGAAAUGGGCACUGGAUCCUGGAACCAACAGAAGAGCCCUGGAGGGUUUCAUAACACCCCGAGUCCCCAUGCUCUGACACACACACAUUGACUAAAAAUGGCUGGCCCCUGCAGUGUGGAGAAGAAACAGGAGAGAGAUCGCAUCCAACAGGAAGAGGAGCAAGAGAGAAGAAGAUUGACAAAUAACCCUGAUAAAUGUGGUUUACUAACAAGCCGUGCCCCCGCUUGAACCCGUUACUGAUUCACAGCAGACAACAGACUGUGCCCAGUCCACCUGAUCUGCCCGCUGGCACCGGGCCCGUGACCCGCUCUGGUAUCCACUGUACACGGACACGCUGUGGAGGAGAGCGUUUACCACACACUGUACUCAUCAAUCAAAACACUCUUCACUGCAGGCGCACAACCAUUAGAAAUGACUGUCAUAGACAUGUAGAUCUGCUCCACUGCUGACACCAUCAGCUUGUUUUAUUAUUCUUAACAAUUCUGUCCUUAAUACUCUCAGUUAUAGACAGAAAUGGCAAGUCUCAAUCUGAUUGGUUGGUUUUAAAAUCUGGACCUUUAUCAGAAUACAGUAAGUCAAAGCGAGAAGCAGAGUUCCAGGAUUUUGUCUGGAGUGUGGAGAUUUUAAGGAUUUAUGAGUUUUAAAUGCAUGACGAUGGGCAAAAUUAGCAAGAAUUUAAGCAUGUAUUAAAAAAUAAAAAUGUGCAAACCUCUAUGGAUAUAUGUUAGAAUGACUACUGUGUAGCAUCUCGACCAAUCUGAC
rnacentral:lncRNA from 1 species